CCAUGGCGGGUGGAUGAAAGACCCAAGCUAACAUGGGGUUAGCUCGUUAAACAACAAUAAAGCCUCAUGCUUUUUGCAGCAAGUUUUCGAGUCUGCCUGGUGAUUGGGGUGACCUCGGUCCUGGGACCCCGGAGGCCUGAGAUUUCCGGGGGUCUAACAUUUGGGGGCUCAUCCAGGAUUUGCGACCACCCCUCACCUGAGUGGAUUUGAUCUUGGAGUUUAUAAUGUCAGACAGACUGCCAGAUCCUGACAGUGACCAAAGUCUCCAAAGAAGAUUAUGAGGAACCCCAGUUCCUGCACCUGGACCAGUGAGCAAGAUGCUCAGAUGUGAUACCUGCUGCCUGCCAGGACCUGGCCGAGACUGUGGACAAAGCUGCUAGACACUGGAAAAUUGAUUGCACCCCCUUUGCCUAGACAAAACAAGGCCGGGCGAAGAUUGCUGUUCUUUGAGACAUCUGCCUCCAGCGGUAAUGGAGAAACUUGGGUUUCUGCUUCUGGCAGACACAUCUGAGUAUCAGUUGCUGACUACAGGCUGUUCUAAGUAGACUGUGAGCCCUGAACUUGCUGUGGAUGUGAACCAGUCCAGCUGAUGUGGACACCCCCUGUCUCUGCAACAGAGUCUUCCAACAGCCCCUGAUGGAUUCCCCAUUGCCUAAAUUCCUUUUUUUGCUUUUGACUAGCAUUUCAACCUUCUGGGGUCCCUAACUUCAUCCCAAAGUCAGCAGGAAGUAGCAUGGGAAAGAAUUCGCCACCCAUUUUCCCUGGUUAAAAUGUUAAGUCAGAAGGAACUCCCUUGCAUGGGGGAUGCCAAUAUCUCUCACUCCCUGAUGGGGACAAGGGAGAGACAGCAAUUCUAUGAUUGGAAUUUCCAAAAAAGAAAAUGGGGGAAUGAAGGGACCAGCUCCCAUUUCAGCAGCCAUAACAGCUGAACACCUUGUCUUAGUCAUUAAGAGGUCAGACGCCUGCCUUGUGGCAAGGAACCAAUCAGAAGUUAGCUGGUGGUGCUAUGCUUUACGGCUCUAGGUAUGCUUUUCGGACAAGUGCACAGCAAUGGCACACAGAGCAUAGCAACCACCCUGGGAGGGCCUAUGGGCCAUAACAACCAAUUGGCCAAUCAACACAGGGCAAGCCCUCCAAGCCUGGAGGCACACCAAUCCUGAGCCUGUGCAUACCCCUAGUCACUCCCCUAGACACGGCUUCCCUACAAGAUCUCUCUGCAGCCGGUUUGAGUUGUCUUUGCUAGCCAUCCUCCAAGGCGGGUGGGUGAAAGACCGGAGCUAACAUGGGGUUAGCUCGUUAAACAACAAUAAAGCCUCAUGCUGUUUGCAGCAAGUUUUCGAGUCUGCCUGGUGAUUGGGGUGACCUUGG
rnacentral:lncRNA from 1 species